rnacentral:rRNA from 1 species
GUCAUAAGAUUAGUUGGAAAAGUUUUCUCGCUUAAGGAUUGGCCUAUAUUGUAUCAGCUAGUUGGUGAGGUAAUGGCUCACCAAGGCUAUGACGCAUAACUGGUCUGAGAGGAUGAUCAGUCACACUGGAACUGAGACACGGUCCAGACUCCUACGGGAGGCAGCAGUGGGGAAUAUUGCACAAUGGACGAAAGUCUGAUGCAGCAACGCUGCGUGGAGGAUGACACUUUUCGGAGCGUAAACUCCUUUUAUAUGGGAAGAUAAUGACGGUACCAUAUGAAUAAGCACCGGCUAACUCCGUGCCAGCAGCCGCGGUAAUACGGAGGGUGCAAGCGUUACUCGGAAUCACUGGGCGUAAAGAGCGUGUAGGCUGUUUGAUAAGUCAGGUGUGAAAGCCUAUGGCUCAACCAUAGAACUGCAUUUGAAACUGUUAGACUAGAGUGUGGGAGAGGCAGAUGGAAUUUCUGGUGUAGGGGUAAAAUCCGUAGAUAUCAGAAGGAAUACCGAUUGCGA